rnacentral:lncRNA from 1 species
CUAGUUACUUACAUUUCUUAAUCCUUACUCAACACAAACCCCAUCAAUCACAAAUCACACAUAAAGAACCAUAGAAGUAUCCAUGAAGCCAAAACUACCUGCAUUGUCAAGAUCCAUUCGGGGCGCGACCCGCAUUGAUAUCGGAUCCAUUUCCUUGCCAUUCUUCUCCUGAUUGCACCACCCUUGCCGGAUUAUAUCCCGGAACCACACCACCAUUCCUCACCCCAUAGUACACCUGCUGGUUCACUCCAUCAGAAACAACCCUACCCGACACGUCAUACUGGUCCAUUCCCGCAACGGGCCUUAACCCUGCACCAUAAACCUGGCCCAUACCCGGCAUCUGAUUAUGAUACCCGACCGGUAUCUGACCCGGUAGAGCCUGGUAUUGCUGAGGCAUAUACGGAGUCCGUAUUUGAACCUGCUGGACCGGUACGUUUGCCGGUUGAACGGGAGCCGGGUAAUAAUAAACCGGUACCGAGCGCACAACAUGACCCGGAUAAUUCGGGUCCUGGAUAUAAUGCAACCCGGGAUUACCCGAAAACCCUGUUGCUUGCGAAACGGGCAACUCCGCCGUCGCCUCUGCAAAACCCUCCGACUGAUUCUCUCUCGUCUCCGGCUUCGAAUCCGGCUUGGUCUUCACCGGCGGUAGAUUCGGCAGCGACGGCACGGAGGGAUUUGACGACGUGGAGCAAAACGGAGACGAGAUAACCGGAGCGGGAGAACCGGGAUCCGAAGCCGAUACGUUGUCCUGUAAAACCCCGGGUCGGGUCUUCGCUCUGUACUCCCGGUUGUGAGUGUCGUCAGAGUUGUCCAACCCGAACAGAUAGUCCGGCACUUCGGAGAGAAUCGAGGAGGCUUCAGAACGGCCGCGCUCGAGGAGCGAAGCGUUCGACGAGCCGCUGUUGAGCGCGUCGAGGAACCAGUGCUCGCGCUUAGCCGAGCCGUCGAGGAGCGAGCUGAUGCUGGAGGUUCGGGAAGCCGAGUCCUCGUCGCCUUUGGGGAAGAGAAAGAGGCGGAGCCGAGCCGCUUUCGG